CGCGUCACUUCCUGUCUGCUACAUUUUUUUUCUCAACAGAGGUGAUUCCUCAUGUUGUCUUCAUGCAGCCAUCAAACACACACGUGUCGCAAACUAUCACGAAAUCAUUCAGGGAAAAUGAAGUCAAAAGACGAGAACGUCGAGCAAGAAUGUGUCAGGAAGUACCUGGCCAGGUUGAGGCGCGCCCUUUGACCCCCGCUGAGCGUCACCCCUCCUUCAACAAGGUGAGUCCAAACAGGAUGUUGUCCCGUAUGGUGCCCGGCAUGAUCCAGGAAGUCUGCGAGGAGAACGACACGCGACCGCUAUGUCGGAUUUUCCCCUCGGACGGCACCAGCUCUCCCAGAAUCAUCAUUAGCAGAGAGCUCUGCAGGGAAAGAUGGUGCCUUUCAAGAUGGCCGUCGGCAGCGGCGCCCCUCCAGGACAGACGUACCUUCCCAGAGCCCGUGGAUCCCGCCACCGCCAGCAUCUGGCCCUGCUCCAGGCAGAGGCUGAUGUUCUUCAGGACAGGUGUGACGUACAGGAAGCUGCCGGACGAGGCGGUAUUGCGCUCCCGUGACCCACCUCUAUCUUCUUGACCAGCGCCAGCGUGUCGUACCACAUCUGGAUGGAUCCCGGCAGCUGCCGCGUCAGCGUCAUGCGCAGCACCAUGCAGUAGGAGGCGGUGGUGAAGAUACGGCGCAGGAUGAUGCCUUUGCUGAGCGCGUGCGGCACAAUGGCCGACACCACCACCAAGAUGGCGGAGAAGAAGUAGGCGGCGCUGUAGAAGUAACGCAAGGAUCCGAUCUUCCUGGUCAGGGUCAUCUCAUCCCUGAAGAGAAGGAGCGAAGGUCACGGUCAGACUUUUUCAUUUGGGCUAGCCAUGUUAGCAUGAUGCUAAUGAUGUCUUUACUGUCUGAUGUUCUUGAUGAUGGUCUCCAUCACGUCCUCCCAGCCGUACGCCUUCACUGAGUGGAUGUUCUCCACAAUCUCUGAGCUUGUUGAGGUGGGCCGACAUCAGACUCACCAGCUGACCCGUGCUGAUUUUAUCCAAGACCCUGCUGGACAGCUUGAGGGUCUGAAAGAAGACAGCACAUGUCAAAGAUGAGACUGAAGAGGGCGAUGCGGAUCUGCAUGCCCAGGUGAUGCAGGCCGAAGAUGGCCGGCUGCAGCAGCAGGAAGCGAGCGGUGAAGAGCAGGCACAGGCCCAGUGCCAGGAAGUAGCCCUGGUUCCGCUCGGGGGCGUGGAAGGGGUCAAAGGAGGCGAUGAUGCGACCCAGAAGCUGAGGCUGCACCGUCUUGGAGGCCUCCUACGAGAAGUCAUUUACUGGACUCUUCAGGUACAGCAAAACCCAAUUUAAUUUGGUCAUGUCUCAGGCAACAAAGGAUGGAUAUAAAGAAGAGGAUGGUUCUUGUCCAGCUAAGAGGUGUGUUGGUGGCGCCAGACGACAGAAAAAGUGCGAUGGUGCAGGGAAGAAGAAGUAGAUGAGCAGACUCACCCCAAAGUAGAGCAGGACUCCAUAGAAAGCAAACGGGCCGAUGAAGCAGCGCGCCAACGCCCGCAUCAGUCUGGGUUUGUUCUUGGCCGACACCUCUCUGUCCCAUUCUCUGCAGGGCCACAGGACAGCAGCUGUAAGUGUCCUCCUGCACCACAAUCUAACUUUUAGCAGAAACCUUUCCAUAAGAUGAAUGAUGCGGACACGUUUGUUACUGGACACUUUCUAACAGGCUUCUGCCUUGGAGACUUUGUAUGUGUAAAUAAUAUGCACCUAUAUUUAUUUGACACUUGUUUAUAUUGACAAAUGUCACGUUUUAUUGUUCAAUGAUUAUUACCUAUGUCUAGCUUGGGUGCUAUUGUGUGCUUAGCUGUUGUGUAGCUGAUAGCUCCUAGUAGCCUAUAGCCGAGUAUGUUUACCUUUUGGAAAUGACUUUAGUAAAAUGGAAGGAAAUGUG